GUCAAAAGAAAUCAGCCAAGAUGUCAGGAAGAGAAUUGUGGACUUGCGCAAGUCUGGUUCAUCCUUGGAUGCAAUUUCCAAAUGCCUGAAGGUGCCACGUUCAUCUGUUCAAACAAUUAUAAGCAAGUAUAAAGACCAUGGGAAUGUCCUCUGGUUCCAAGGUACAAUAUGUCUGUGCAGUGACUCACCAGGAGGAAGCAGGGGCUGACAAACUUCCAGCACAGCCUCCAGUACAUGCCUGGUCGCUGCCCAAUCAUCUCCUCAAUGUCAUCGCUGAAUCGGUCCACUCCUGAAACACAUGGAAACACUUGAUAUUACUUCCAAGUCAUGGUUAAAUACAACCAUUGCUAAAAUUGUCAAAUGCAUAUACUGUACUAUGUAUUAAAUUCACAGCAGGUUUGGGGUACUGUCCUUUUAUAAAUCAAAUUAAAAGUUGGCCAUGCAGAAACCCA